AUGGGUUCUUCUUCAGCACCGGGCAAGAAAGCGCACGCUGUGUGCCUGCCGGCGCCGGCGCAGGGGCACGUCAUCCCGAUGCUCGACGUGGCCACGAUGCUCCACGCCUGCGGCUUCGACGUCACCUUCGUCAACACCGAGUACAACCACGCCCGCCUCGUCCGGGCGCGGGGCGCGGCCGCGGUGGCCGGUGUUCCGGGGUUCCGCUUUGCCACCAUCCCGGAUGGCUUGCCAGCAUCCGACGACGACGUCACGCAGGACGUUCCCUCGCUAUGCAAGUCCACCGAGGAGACCUGCCUCGGGCCCUUCCGCCGCCUCCUAGCGGAGCUCAACGGCCCCGCCACAGGCCACCCGCCUGUGACCUGCGUCGUCGCCGACGCGCUGAUGGAUUUCUCCAUGGAAGCGGCCAAGGAGCUCGGCCUCCCCUAUGUCCAGCUAUGGACGUCUAGUGCCAUCAGCUUCGUCGGUUACUGCCACUACCGCCUCCUCUUCGAACGUGGCCUCGCACCGAUCAAAGACGUCAAACAGCUGACUGAUGAGUACCUUGACACGCCGGUGGAAGACGUGCCGGGCCUGAGGAACAUGAGGUUCAGGGACUUUCCCACCUUCAUAUGCAGCCCGGCCCCGCGCGACUUCAUGUUGCAUUUCGCGCUCAGGAUCACCGAGCGCUCUGUCGGCGCUUCCGCAAUGAUGGUCAAUACCUUCGGUGACCUCGAGGGGGAGGUGGUGGCCGCCACGGAGGCGCUUGGCAUGCCCAAGGUCUACACCAUUGGUCCGCUCCCGCUGCUGGCGCCGAGCUCUAACAUCAGCAUGAGCCUCUGGAAGCAGCAGGAGUGCUUGCCGUGGCUCCAUGGCAAGGCGCGUGGCUCCGUCGUGUACGUGAACUUUGGCAGCAUCACCGUCAUGAACAACGAGCAGUUAGUGGAGUUCGCCUGGGGGCUGGCCAAGAGCGGCAGGCAUUUCCUCUGGAUCAUCCGUCCCGACCUCGUCAAGGGCGACACUGCGGUGCUCCCUCCGGAGUUCUCGGCCGAGACGGCGGAGCGUGGGCUUGUGGCCUCCUGGUGCCCGCAGCAGCAGGUGUUGAACCACCCGGCUGUGGGCGCGUUCCUCACGCACAGCGAUUGGAACUCAACGAUGGAGAGCAUGUGCGGCGGCGUGCCGGUCAUCAGCUGGCCGUUUUUCGCGGACCAGCAGACCAACUGCCGGUACCAGUGCAACGAAUGGGGAGUCGGCAUGGAGAUAGACAGCAACGUCCAAAGUGACGCCGUCGCGGACCUUAUUACAGAGGUCAUGGAGGGGGACAAGGGGCAGGUGAUGAAGAAGAAGGUGCAAGAGUGGAGGGAAAAAGCGGUCAAGGCUGCUAAGCCCGGCGGCUCGUCUCACCGCAACUUCGAGGAGUUGAUCAUCAACGUGCUAGCUCCUUGA
rnacentral:rRNA from 1 species